rnacentral:rRNA from 1 species
UAGGGAAUAUUGGACAAUGGGCGCAAGCCUGAUCCAGCCAUGCCGCGUGAGUGAAGAAGGCCCUCGGGUUGUAAAGCUCUUUUGUCCGGAAAGAAAAGCAUCGGGUUAAUACCCCGGUGUUCUGACGGUACCGGAAGAAUAAGCACCGGCUAACUUCGUGCCAGCAGCCGCGGUAAUACGAAGGGUGCAAGCGUUACUCGGAAUUACUGGGCGUAAAGCGUGCGUAGGUGGUUCGUUAAGUCUGAUGUGAAAGCCCUGGGCUCAACCUGGGAAUGGCAUCGGAAACUGGCUAGCUAGAGUGUGUCAGAGGAUGGUGGAAUUCCCGGUGUAGCGGUGAAAUGCGUAGAGAUCGGGAGGAACAUCAGUGGCGAAGGCGGCCAUCUGGGACAACACUGACGCUGAAGCACGAAAGCGUGGGGAGCAAACA